UCGCGGGGUGGAGCAGCACGGUAGCUCGUCGGGCUCAUAACCCGAAGGUCGCAGGUUCAAAUCCUAUCCCCGCAACCAA
rnacentral:tRNA from 2 species